rnacentral:rRNA from 1 species
UAGGGAAUCUUCCGCAAUGGGCGAAAGCCUGACGGAGCAACGCCGCGUGAGUGAUGAAGGUCUUCGGAUCGUAAAACUCUGUUAUUAGGGAAGAACAUAUGUGUAAGUAACUGUGCACAUCUUGACGGUACCUAAUCAGAAAGCCACGGCUAACUACGUGCCAGCAGCCGCGGUAAUACGUAGGUGGCAAGCGUUAUCCGGAAUUAUUGGGCGUAAAGCGCGCGUAGGCGGUUUUUUAAGUCUGAUGUGAAAGCCCACGACUCAACCGUGGAGGGUCAUUGGAAACUGGAAAACUUGAGUGCAGAAGAGGAAAGUGGAAUUCCAUGUGUAGCGGUGAAAUGCGCAGAGAUAUGGAGGAACACCAGUGGCGAAGGCGACUUUCUGGUCUGUAACUGACGCUGAUGUGCGAAAGCGUGGGGAUCAAACA